rnacentral:snRNA from 1 species
AUCACUUCUCGGCCUUUUGGCUAAGAUCAAGUGUAGUAUCUGUUCUUAUCAGUUUAAUAUCUGAUACAUUUCCUAGAUGGGAACCAUAUAUUAAAUUGCUUUUUGAAACAGGGAGAUGGAGUAGGGGCUUGCUCUGUCCACUACACGCAUCGACCUAGUAUAGCUUUGCUUCUGGGAACAGUGCAGCCUAC